GUCAUCCCAGAGCUCAGCAUUGAAACCAGCCGGAAAUUGUUCAGUUGGGGGAACUAGGGGAAAGGGAACAGUGAUGUGAAGGGCAGAGGCAGUGGUGGGAAGCCUGUGUGUGGCCGACGCAUGCUUUUAUGCUGUCAUCACGGCCUUGCUUUCUAUAGCAGGGAUCUGAGAAGCAGGCAGGCAGCUGCUCUGCCUGAGACUGUCAGGAGUUGGUGGAUAUGAAUCCAUGUCUGAAGCCCAAGCUCUCGCUACUCUGCUGUCUCCCUGAGGGGUGCAUGAAGGCCCCAGCCCAGUCAGUGACACAGAGGUUGGGAAGACCAGGGCAUGAAGCUUCUGUGCUUGGAGAACAGGAGGGCUUGUGGAGCUGUGGUUGAUGGCGUGUCCAGGAAGCCUGGCCAGGCUGGGGUCUGGCAACAGCCUCACCACGAUGGCAUGGCGGUGGGCCCGGCCUCUACCCGCUGCGCCACAGCUCCUGGCUCCUGGCUCCAGGUCAUCUCUGCCCACAGCCAGCGUCUCUGCUGGACUCCUCCCCCUUCUCCCAUUCCCUGGCUGGGCUCCUCUUCCUUGGGACCUUCAUAGCUUGAUGAGAAGACAGUGCCCUCUCGGCCAGACCAGGACAUUAUUUGACAGUAGAGAAACUGGAGUGUAGACAAACACCAUGGAUGCUGUGUGGAAGAGUUGUUCCCAGCUGAAGAUGUCCCUCCUCAGUGAAGCCCUGCCUGAGCGCCUCCGGUCCUUCUCAGCAGCCAGAGGCUUCUCAGCACUUUUGCGUUCCCAUCUGGGUGGGAACUGCAUGGCCUGUUUAAGCACAAGGAGGGGGAGUGUGGGGAAGGG
rnacentral:lncRNA from 1 species